GUCCCAGUAGCUCAGCUGGAUAGAGCGACAGCCUCCUAAGCUGUAGGUCGUGAGUUCGAAUCUCGCCUGGGACG
rnacentral:tRNA from 6 species